rnacentral:lncRNA from 1 species
AAAGAAUGUUCCUGUGGGUGGAGAAUGGAACUUGGCCUAGCCUUGACCCCAGGUGGGAGGGAGAAGCAGUCAGGAGGGUAUGGGACUGGAAAAAGCCCUUAGGGUCCCUCAAACCUUAUAUAUCAGUUGUAGGGUGUGUGUGUGUUCAGUACACCAUUCCUGUCUGACUGAAAUGGGUGUUUCUUUGAUUUGUAGGCCAUUCUUGGACCCCAACAGUUCUUUCUCAACAUGACAGAGUUUGACUCAGUGUUGUUAACAUGCUAAACUCUUCCAUUACAGAAUAGGCCUGUACAGGAUUCUUACCGAUGGAUCUACUUCAGAGAGGACUGAAAUCCAAUCAAAGAAAUCUAAUGACCCGAGAGAAACAUUUCCCCAGUGAGCUCCCACAGGCUCCCUGCUGUCUAAGGAUGCAUUCCAAAUUCCA